rnacentral:ribozyme from 1 species
GAGCAGGGCUAGGCCCAGUCCCGUGCAAGCCGGGACCGCCCCGAAAGGGGCGCGGCGCUCAACCUGCAUCA